GACGAACCGUGCAAACGUUGUUCGGAAUCACUGGGCUUAAAGGGCGCGUAGGCGGGCAGUCAAGUCUGUGGUGAAAUCUUUCGGCUCAACCGGAAAAUUGCCGUGGAUACUGGCUGUCUUGAGGGAGGUAGGGGCCCGUGGAACUUCCGGUGGAGCGGUGAAAUGCGUUGAUAUCGGAAGGAACGCCGGUGGCGAAAGCGGCGGGCUGGAUCUCUUCUGACGCUGAGGCGCGAAAGCUAGGGGAGCAAAC
rnacentral:rRNA from 1 species